GAAAAUUUGAUUAACACUAACACAUUUGGUUUAAACUGUAGCAAAAAAAAUCAUCAUGAAUUCAAAGUUUAGAUAUAUAAUUUUUACUUGUUUUUCUUUUAUCCGUGGGAUCAAAAAUUGAUGAAGCGCAGGUAGAUCAAACUCACCAAAAUCCUGCGGAGGCGAAAACUUAUUAACUUGAUCCAAUUUCUUCUACGCUAUUUCACCAAAAUGCUGCGGAGAAUUAGAGAGAAAAUUAGUAAAUUCACCCAAUUUCUUCUACGCUCAUGAAAAAAUACACCUGAAAGCUGCAGCAAAAACAACAUUCACCAUAGAUUCAAAGUUUCGAUAUCAAAUUGAAGUACAGGUAGAUCAAACUUACUAAAAUGCUGCGCAGAAUUCGAGAGAAAAUUAGUAAAUUCACCAAAUUCUUCUACGCCCAUGAAAAAAUACACCUGAAAACAAAAUUGCUGCGGAUAAUUCGAGAGAAAAUUAGUAAAUUCACCAAAUUCUUCUACGCCCAUGAAAAAAUACACCUGAAAACAAAAUUGCUGCGGAUAAUUCGAGAGAAAAUUAGUAAAUUCACCAAAUUCUUCUACGCCCAUGAAAAAAUACACCUGAAAACAAAAUUGCUGCGGAU
rnacentral:misc_RNA from 1 species